rnacentral:rRNA from 1 species
UCAGGAUGAACGCUGGCGGCGUGCUUAACACAUGCAAGUCGAACGGGAAGCACCCCUACGGGGGUGUGGAGAGUGGCGCACGGGUGCGUAACACGUGGCUUAUCUACCCUGGAGACGGGGAUAACCUUCGGAAACGAAGGCUAAUACCCGAUAAGCUCACGAUCUGUAGAGGGUUGUGAGAAAAGUUCAGGCGCUCUGGGAUGAGGCUGCGGUCCAUCAGCUAGUUGGUGAGGUAAGAGCUUACCAAGGCGACGACGGAUAGGGGACCUGAGAGGGUGGACCCCCACACUGGCACUGAGACACGGGCCAGACUCCUACGGGAGGCAGCAGUGAGGAAUAUUGCGCAAUGGGCGAAAGCCUGACGCAGCGACGCCGCGUGGGCGAAGAAGGUUUUCGGAUCGUAAAGCCCUUUUCUAUGUGACGAGAGAUAGGACGGUAGCAUAGGAAUAAGUCUCGGCUAACUACGUGCCAGCAGCCGCGGUAAAACGUAGGAGGCAAGCGUUAUCCGGAGUUACUGGGCGUAAAGCGCGUGUAGGCGGCGGCGUAGGUCAGAUGUGAAAGCUCCCAGGCUAAACCGGGAGAGGUCAUUUGAAACCGCGUGGCUAGAGUGCGGCAGAGGGGCAUGGAAUUCCGGGUGUAGUGGUGAAAUGCGUAGAUAUCCGGAGGAACACCAGUGGCGAAGGCGGUGCCCUGGGCCGCAACUGACGCUGAGACGCGAAAGCAUGGGCAGCGAACGGGAUUAGAAACCCCGGUAGUCCAUGCCGUAAACGAUGCACACUGGGUGUUCGUGGCGGGAAACCGCUGGGAGUGCCGAAGUCAACACGGUAAGUGUGCCGNCUGGGGAGUACGGUCGCAAGGCUAAAACUCAAAGGAAUUGACGGGGGCCCGCACAAGCAGCGGAGCGUGUGGU